rnacentral:rRNA from 1 species
UGGGGAAUUUUGCACAAUGGGGGAAACCCUGAUGCAGCGACGCCGCGUGAUUUAGAAGGCCUUCGGGUUGUAAAAAUCUUUUCUAUGGGAAGAAAAUGACAGUACCAUAGGAAUAAGGACCGGCUAAUUACGUGCCAGCAGCCGCGGGAAUACGUAAGGUCCGAGGGUUGUCCGGAAUCAUUGGGCGUAAAGGGUACGUAGGCGGGUAAGCAAGUUAGAAGUGAAAUCCUAUAGCUCAACUAUAGUAGGCUUUUAAAACUGCACAUCUGGAGGUAUGGAAGGGAAAGUGGAAUUCCUAGUGUAGCGGUGAAAUGCGCAGAUAUUAGGAGGAAUACCGGUGGCGAAGGCGACUUUCUGGCCAUAACCUGACGCUGAGGUACGAAAGCGUGGGUAGCAAACAGG